GUGGGGAAUCUUCCGCAAUGGACGAAAGUCUGACGGAGCAACGCCGCGUGAGUGAAGAAGGUUUUCGGAUCGUAAAGCUCUUUCGUUAGGGACGAACGUGCUCUUUGUGAAUAAUGAGGAGUAAUGACGGUACCUAAAUAAGAAGCCACGGCUAACUACGUGCCAGCAGCCGCGGUAAUACGUAGGUGGCAAGCGUUGUCCGGAAUUAUUGGGCGUAAAGCGCGCGCAGGCGGGAUAUCAAGUCUGUCUUAAAAGUGCGAGGCUCAACCUCGGGAGAGGACAGAAACUGGUAUUCUUGAGUGUCGGAGAGGAAAGUGGAAUUCCAAGUGUAGCGGUGAAAUGCGUAGAGAUUUGGAAGAACACCAGUGGCGAAGGCGACUUUCUGGACGAUGUCUGACGCUGAGGCGCGAAAGCUAGGGGAGCGAACGGGAUUAGAUACCCUAGUAGUCC
rnacentral:rRNA from 1 species